UAGCCUGCCCACUGAUUUGUUUUAAAGGGCCGCGGUAUAUUGACCGUGCGAAGGUAGCAUAAUCAUUAGUCUUUUAAUUGGAGGCUUGUAUGAAUGGUUGGACAAAAAGUAAGCUGUCUCAGUUAUAAUAAUUGAACUUAACUUUUAAGUGAAAAGGCUUAAAUGUUUCAGGGGGACGAUAAGACCCUAUAAAGCUUGACAAUAAUUUCGUUAUAUUAUAAAUUGUUAGUAUAACUUGAUUUUAACGGGAGUUUGUUUCGUUGGGGCGACGGGAAUAUAAUAAAUAACUGUUCUUUUAAAUAUAAUUACAAAAAUACUUGGUAAAUAAUUGAUCCUCUAUUAGAGAUUAAAAGAUUAAGUUACUUUAGGGAUAACAGCGUAAUCUUCUUUGAGAGUCCACAUCGACAAGAAGGUUUGCGACCUCGAUGUUGAAUUAAGGUAUCCUUAUAAUGCAGCAGUUAUAAAGGA
rnacentral:rRNA from 1 species